rnacentral:lncRNA from 1 species
AUUUUUUCCCCAUCUAGCUAUCGUUCUUAAACUCCAUCGCUAUCUUGCCUUUAUCUUCCUCUUUCUCUUUCGUUUUCUUCUCGAUCUCUUCUGUUUUCUGUUGUCUAUUUACAAAUUAAGUUCAAUUAAUCCAAAUAGAUAAUGAAAAAUUAAAACUUUGUUUCCUUUUUUCCAUUUUCCCAAAUUGAAAAACGAACCAAAACCCUAACUGCUUGUUAUAGAAGGGGCUUUUUCUCCAACUAAACAUCUAGUGCCUCUACU